UUAUUUUAGAUUAAGACAUUUUCAUCCUUCUUGGGACCUGUCUCUGGAGCUUGAAGCACUACAGAGGGUCCCAUUCGAGCCUUUGCAAUCAUUAAGCUGAAGUUUCUUUCAAUGAAGACUCUGCUCCUGAUUGCAUUGGCCUCCAUCAAGAGGACCUGCACUCAUUUUCGGUCAACGAUUCAUGCCUAUAGUUCAGACCCGACUGGUUCCCAGUGAAUAACAUCAGCUGUAUGUGAAGACUGAGGUUUUUAGGAGAACCGACCCAGGAAUGUAGGACAGCGGGAAGUGCUCUGUUAUCUGUCAGCAGAGGUUUGGAGCGGUCAUACAGCACACAUCUCUACACGCGUGUGAGGAUCAUGUGUCAGAUGAGCUCCUCUGA